GAUGAACGCUGGCGGCGUGCCUAAUACAUGCAAGUCGAGCGAACAGACGAGGAUCUUGCUCCUCUGACGUUAGCGGCGGACGGGUGAGUAGCACGUGACUAACCUACCUAUAAGACUUGGAUAACUUCGGGUAACCGGAGCUAAUACCGGAUAAUAUAGUGAACCGCAUGGUUCAAUAGUGAAAGACGGGUUUGCUGUCACUUAUAGAUGGAUCCGCGCGGCAUUAGCUGGUUGGUAUGGUAACGGCUUACCAAGGCGCCGAUGCGUAGCCGACGUGAGAGGGUGUAGGGCCACACUGGAGCUGAGACGCCGCCCAGAGUCCUACGGAAGGCAGCGGUAGCGAAGCUUCCGCGAUGGGCGAAAUACUGAAGGAGCGGCGCCGCGUGGGUGAUGAAAGUCUUCGGAUCGUAAAACUCUGUUAGUAGGGAAGAACGAUUGUGUAAGUAACUAUGCACUGCUUGACGGUACCUAAUCAGAAAGCCACGGCUAACUACGUG
rnacentral:rRNA from 1 species